GAUGAACGCUAGCGGCAGGCCUAAUACAUGCAAGUCGAACGAGAUUAAGAGGCUUGCUUCUUAUGAAAGUGGCGCACGGGUGCGUAACGCGUAUGCAACCUACCUUAAUCAGGGGGAUAGCCCGAAGAAAUUCGGAUUAAGACCGCAUAAAAACACAGGAUAGCAUUAUCCAAUGUUCAAAUAUUUAUAGGAUUAAGAUGGGCAUGCGUGUCAUUAGCUAGUUGGCGGGGUAACGGCCCACCAAGGCGACGAUGACUAGGGGAUCUGAGAGGAUGACCCCCCACACUGGUACUGAGACACGGACCAGACUCCUACGGGAGGCAGGAGUAAGGAAUAUUGGUAAAUGGAGGGAACUCUGAACCAGCCAUGCCGCGUGCAGGAAGACAGCCCUCUGGAUCGUAAACUGCUUUUAUUCGGGAAUAAACCUUUCUACGUGUAGGAAGCUGAAUGUACCGAAGGAAUAAGGAUCGGCUAACUCCGUG
rnacentral:rRNA from 1 species